rnacentral:rRNA from 1 species
UACGAAGGGUGCAAGCGUUACUCGGAAUUACUGGGCGUAAAGCGUGCGUAGGUGGUUCGUUAAGUCUGUCGUGAAAGCCCCGGGCUCAACCUGGGAAUGGCGAUGGAUACUGGCGGGCUAGAGUGCGGUAGAGGAGAGUGGAAUUCCCGGUGUAGCAGUGAAAUGCGUAGAGAUCGGGAGGAACAUCAGUUGCGAAGGCGGCUCUCUGGACCAGCACUGACACUGAGGCACGAAAGCGUGGGGAUCAAACAGG